AAAAGUAUACUGAAGAAAAAUGAAACCAUGGAUUCAGUGUCGAUUUACUGAAGAAUGAGAAAGAAAAAAGGCUAACUGAAAAUGAGCCUUCAUUAUUGGUGAAAAAUCUUCAAUCAUGUCCAUUGUUCUCUCUGGCAGGCUAGCUCUGACUAUUAAAUAGUAUAUUUUUAUAAAAUCACUACAGCAUCCUGAAACUGGCAACAUCAACCUACUAUACAGGACAAAACUGUUUGGAUUUUCAAAGGGGCUGGGGAGAACUGCUGAUUUGCACAAAGGCAUUUUUAUCUUCAGGAUCCCUGGAUGCCCUGUGAACUUUAGGCAAGUUUAAAGAAACGGCUCUGAGUUCUGAGAUAUUCACUGGAUCUCUAUCAACUCAGUGAAUGAAGACACCAGACUUGAGAUACCACACAGAGACGUCAACAAGUGGGAGGACUGUAUGAAGUUUAACAAAGAUAAAAGUGAAGUUCUGCACCUGGGAUGGAGUAGCUCAACUUCAAGCAACAGGACAGACUGAGGUCUGGCUGGCCAAGGAGCAGCUCUGCUGAGAAGUCCUGUCCUGUGCUGGUGGACAACAAGCUGAGUGAAAACUGAAGAUAGAGCUACAGAUUUGGCAACUUAUAACAAAUUUUAACUCAUCAGACUUUUCUUCAACACUAGGAAAAACUUAAGUCUGUGUUUCUCAUUUCAGUGCUUUGAAGAUGAGGAAUUUUUCCUAUUUUGGUCAAAAUAAAGUUUUGUUUAGGAUAUUUUAAAAAGGAUAAAACAUUUAAAAUAAAUACAGAACACUUCAUUCAGAAGUUUAA